GCCUCGGGCGGCCAACGGGCGGCGGCCGACUGAAGGAAGGGUCGGUUGUGCGUAAAACGGUCAGUAAGACUAAGCACAGGCGAAAGGAGGGACGGCAUCGCGUUGGCAGUGAUGGGAAACGUUGAGACCAGUGUCAGUGUGCGAUUUGGGCAUAUCUCCUCAAUUAGCUGAACGCAUGAGUGCUCAUUAUGAUAACUGGACUUUUCAAUGGACCCAAGAAGGAAAACAGUCAUGCUAUGCUGAACUACAGCCAUCAUUGGAGCCUUUUCUAAGGUUUGGGCCCUGGCAUGAAGAGAGUUACCGCCCAUGGCUGCUGACAAGCGCAACUUGACAACUACAAAACGACCGGCCGCCUUUCGACCCGCCGCCCCCGCCGCUCGGGGACGAGCCGCGGACUCUCCGCUGCACGAGCCGGCGAGGUGAUGCCCCGACGGACUGAGACAAGGAUUUCAUCGGCGCCAAGCUUAUCACCGAUCCACCAUGACGAUGCCGUUGUUGUUUCUGACGGUAGUCUUCUGCCCUGCUGCAGCCGGGCCUGUUUCCCCACCGCCGUCAGCCGGGCAGUGACGGCCGCCGCCCGUCCCAGAGUUGAAAUGGAUCGUCCCUAGCCGCGUCCAUUAGUGAAGUGGCUGAGGGCUGACCCUGGGCCCCGGGCUCGUCCCGUGGUCCAUUUCACAUCGCCACGGCCUCCCAGCUUGGUGAGUUAUGAUUGGCGGCUGUAGGUAUUUAUUAAACAUAGAUCAAAUCUCAGCGUAUGAGACCUGUCAUAGUAAGAGCGUAGCAGCUAGGUAAAGUAAACGUAUCUUUGCGGUUGUCAAGUGCAGCUAUAACUGCAGCUAUUGUUGUUAUUAGUAUUUAGUGUAGAUAUUCGCCUGCCUGUAAUGAAGCAUUCUGUACUGUAGGUGUGCUAUAACCUGGCUACAUUACACAAUAUAUUAUUAAUGGGGGUCCAGAAA